AGUAAUAUGGGUCAUUCAUCAUGGAAACUUGAAGGUUGAAAUCUUCUUAUAGAAAAGUUCUCCAUUCCAGGAUGUUGAAGUGACUUCUUUUAUGCUAUUCAGUAUGCUUUCAGGCUGGCUUUAUUUCAGGCACGCAAGCUGAUGAUAGGCUGCCAACUCAGGAUGUGGACACAUUCUCUUGAUUGUCAUUUUAAUAUUCUCUGGAUUUUCUUGCCAGGAGUCGGAUUAUGUUAGCAAAAUACUAAUUAUCUACGUUUUAGAUGUUACCUGCUAUGAUACUGUUGCUGCUAUUUGGUUUUGUACGCCAUGAAAUGAUACUGGUUGCUCUUUAA